rnacentral:rRNA from 1 species
CGGCGUGCCUAAUACAUGCAAGUCGAGCGAACAGAUAAGGAGCUUGCUCCUUUGACGUUAGCGGCGGACGGGUGAGUAACACGUGGGUAACCUACCUAUAAGACUGGGAUAACUUCGGGAAACCGGAGCUAAUACCGGAUAACAUUUGGAACCGCAUGGUUCUAAAGUGAAAGAUGGUUUUGCUAUCACUUAUAGAUGGACCCGCGCCGUAUUAGCUAGUUGGUAAGGUAACGGCUUACCAAGGCGACGAUACGUAGCCGACCUGAGAGGGUGAUCGGCCACACUGGAACUGAGACACGGUCCAGACUCCUACGGGAGGCAGCAGUAGGGAAUCUUCCGCAAUGGGCGAAAGCCUGACGGAGCAACGCCGCGUGAGUGAUGAAGGGUUUCGGCUCGUAAAACUCUGUUAUUAGGGAAGAACAAACGUGUAAGUAACUGUGCACGUCUUGACGGUACCUAAUCAGAAAGCCACGGCUAACUACGUGCCAGCAGCCGCGGUAAUACGUAGGUGGCAAGCGUUAUCCGGAAUUAUUGGGCGUAAAGCGCGCGUAGGCGGUUUCUUAAGUCUGAUGUGAAAGCCCACGGCUCAACCGUGGAGGGUCAUUGGAAACUGGGAAACUUGAGUGCAGAAGAGGAAAGUGGAAUUCCAUGUGUAGCGGUGAAAUGCGCAGAGAUAUGGAGGAACACCAGUGGCGAAGGCGACUUUCUGGUCUGUAACUGACGCUGAUGUGCGAAAGCGUGGGGAUCAAACAGGAUUAGAUACCCUGGUAGUCCACGCCGUAAACGAUGAGUGCUAAGUGUUAGGGGGUUUCCGCCCCUUAGUGCUGCAGCUAACGCAUUAAGCACUCCGCCUGGGGAGUACGACCGCAAGGUUGAAACUCAAAGGAAUUGACGGGGACCCGCACAAGCGGUGGAGCAUGUGGUUUAAUUCGAAGCAACGCGAAGAACCUUACCAAAUCUUGACAUCCUUUGAAAACUCUAGAGAUAGAGCCUUCCCCUUCGGGGGACAAAGUGACAGGUGGUGCAUGGUUGUCGUCAGCUCGUGUCGUGAGAUGUUGGGUUAAGUCCCGCAACGAGCGCAACCCUUAAGCUUAGUUGCCAUCAUUAAGUUGGGCACUCUAGGUUGACUGCCGGUGACAAACCGGAGGAAGGUGGGGAUGACGUCAAAUCAUCAUGCCCCUUAUGAUUUGGGCUACACACGUGCUACAAUGGACAAUACAAAGGGCAGCUAAACCGCGAGGUCAUGCAAAUCCCAUAAAGUUGUUCUCAGUUCGGAUUGUAGUCUGCAACUCGACUACAUGAAGCUGGAAUCGCUAGUAAUCGUAGAUCAGCAUGCUACGGUGAAUACGUUCCCGGGUCUUGUACACACCGCCCGUCACACCACGAGAGUUUGUAACACCCGAAGCCGGUGGAGUAACCAUUUAUGGAGCUAGCCGUCGAAGGUGG